rnacentral:rRNA from 1 species
UACGGAGGGGGCAAGCGUUGUUCGGAAUUACUGGGCGUAAAGGGCGCGUAGGCGGCCUGUUGCGUCAGGUGUGAAAGCCCCGGGCUCAACCUGGGAUGUGCACUUGAUACGGGCGGGCUGGAAUCCGGGAGAGGAUGGUGGAAUUCCCAGUGUAGAGGUGAAAUUCGUAGAUAUUGGGAAGAACACCGAUGGCGAAGGCAGCCAUCUGGACCGGCAUUGACGCUGAGGCGCGAAAGCGUGGGGAGCAAACAGG